GUUUGAUCCUGGCUCAGGACGAACGCUGGCGGCGUGCUUAACACAUGCAAGUCGAACGCUGAAGCCUGGUGCUUGCACCGGGUGGAUGAGUGGCGAACGGGUGAGUAAUACGUGAGUGACCUGCCUUUGACUCUGGGAUAAGCCUGGGAAACUGGGUCUAAUACCGGAUGCGACUACUGCCCGCAUGGGCUGGUGGUGGAAAGGGUUAUGUACUGGUCUUAGAUGGGCUCACGGCCUAUCAGCUGGUUGGUGGGGUAAUGGCCUACCAAGGCGACGACGGGUAGCCGGCCUGAGAGGGUGACCGGCCACACUGGGACUGAGACACGGCCCAGACUCCUACGGGAGGCAGCAGUGGGGAAUAUUGCACAAUGGGCGCAAGCCUGAUGCAGCGACGCCGCGUGAGGGAUGACGGCCUUCGGGUUGUAAACCUCUUUCAGCAGGGAAGAAGCGGAAGUGACGGUACCUGCAGAAGAAGCGCCGGCUAACUACGUGCCAGCAGCCGCGGUAAUACGUAGGGCGCAAGCGUUGUCCGGAAUUAUUGGGCGUAAAGAGCUCGUAGGCGGCUUGUCGCGUCUGCUGUGAAAGCCCGGGGCUUAACUCCGGGUGUGCAGUGGGUACGGGCAGGCUAGAGUGCAGUAGGGGUAACUGGAAUUCCUGGUGUAGCGGUGAAAUGCGCAGAUAUCAGGAGGAACACCGAUGGCGAAGGCAGGUUACUGGGCUGUUACUGACGCUGAGGAGCGAAAGCAUGGGGAGCGAACAGGAUUAGAUACCCUGGUAGUCCAUGCCGUAAACGUUGGGCACUAGGUGUGG
rnacentral:rRNA from 1 species